AGCGCAUGCAUACCGGGCGCCUAGCCGCGGCAGCUUCAGCGAGGGACUGAGCCGCCCAGCCGCGAGGUCCAUAGAGACUUCCUGGGGUGAUGACCUUGAGCAGAGACCAAGAGGAAAUACAGAAGAGAGCUACAAUAUCUGGGGACAAGAGAAGGGGCAGCAAGUGCAAAGGCCCUGAGGCAGGAAGAACUGGGACCCUUUGAAAGACAACAAAGAGACCGAUGUGGGUAGAACCAUGUGAAUAAAGAAAAGGAGAACAAAGGACACAUCAUGUGGGAAUGUGCCCUGGAAAUUCAAGGACAGCCUAAACUGUACAGUGAGACUCUGUCUCAAAGAAAGAAAGCUGUGAAGACACCAAGCCCAUCUUCCUGAAUGGAUGAAAUAAACAGCAACUGGUGGCAAUUACGGACGCAAGACACGGAACAAUUUUGCUUACUUGAGUGACGGACCCUCCAACAGCAGCCACACACGUGUGCCUGGUCAUUGUGCAAGUCAUUAACACAUGCCCUUGUGGUGGUGUUGGGUUUUGUUUUGUUUUGUUGAUGGCAUUAGAGAUGGAAGCCAGGGCCUCACACAUGCUGGACAAGUACUGAGCCACACCGCAGCCCUUCAUUUUGUUUUGUUUUUUCUCUCUCUUUUUUUUUGGUACCAGAGAUCAAACUCAGGUCCUUAUGCCUGCACAGUAGGGGGCAAAACCACUGAGCUAAAUCCCCAGCCCUCUCUCUCUUUUUUUUUUGAGACAGGGUCUUGCUAUGUAGUCCAGGCAGGCCUGGAACUCACAGCCAUCCUCCUGCCUCAGUGCGGGGAUGACAGGUGUGUGUCACCACACUCAGCUGAAGAUAUCAUUAUUACCCCAUUUUCCAGGUGAGUAAACUGAGGCACAGAG
rnacentral:lncRNA from 1 species